CAAAUGUCGGGUUUUUGCCGCGGCGUAGAUUCAGUGAUAAUUGUGGAAAUUUAUUAGUUUCACUGUAAAUUGGGUGAGGUUAUCGAUAAAUUUUGAUAUUGGACCUAGAUCUUUACCGUAGUUCCUCUUGGUUCUCAGGAUGAUCAAACGGCGUGCCGGAUUGAUCGCGUCGGGGGCACAACUGAGAGCUGUGUAAAUCGCCACGCUUCUCCGGUCGGCGGUGGUAUCAGCUGCAUCCAUGGCUCAGGAUGAUCAAACGGCGUGCCGGAUUGAUCGCGUCGGGGGCACAACUGAGAGCUGUGUAAAUCGCCACGCUUCUCCGGUCGGCGGUGGUAUCAGCUGCAUCCAUGGCGGCUGGAAACUAAAGCUUGGUAUACCGGACGCUAGGUGGCGAGCGAGUGCUUAGCUUGUCUGCGUGGUGGCACUGGCAACGGAACGCACAGGGCCGACGUUAGAGAUGUAGGUGGCGCUGGCAGCGUGUCGUUCUGACCAGGGAUCA